UGGCGCUGUAAGCCGACUAUAACUAAUAACACCUCCUGGUCCACAGACUUCGGUCGAUGCAAUGCAACAACAAUGAGAUCAAACAUCGACAACCCCGGGACAAAAUCAGCAUUACAUAUGGACAUUUUCAGUCGGGCCGACGCUGCUGGCAUUACUGCAGACUCCCCUGCCUUCCAGCAGGGCACGGAGGGGCCUUGGCUCAUCCUCUGAAGUUGGGACAUCCUCUGGAUGGUGUGGUCAGCGGCAUUAUUGGGCUUGACAGAGCCGGCUGCAGGAGGAUCAGCGCCAGGAUGUUAAAA